UACGUAGGGUGCGAGCGUUAAUCGGAAUUACUGGGCGUAAAGCGCGCGCAGGCGGACUGAUCAGUCUGGGGUGAAAUCUCACGGCUCAACUGUGAGCGGUCCCUGGAUACUGUCAGUCUUGAGAUGUCUAGAGGAGAGCGGAAUUCCCGGUGUAGUGGUGGAAUGCGUAGAUAUCGGGAAGAACACCAGUGGCGAAAGCGGCUCUCUGGGGACCAUCUGACGCUGAGGCGCGAAAGCGUGGGGAGCGAACCGG
rnacentral:rRNA from 1 species